CUUCAACUGCUAAGUCCCUUGGGAAGGAACUGGAGCAGUGGAAAUUUUAUAUCCAACUCUUCUAAUUGGAGCUAUAGGAUAUAUGGGCCAUGAAGCCAGCAGUGUAGGUGCCAUGGCUUUAGCCUUUGACAUCCUCUCACUAAAACAGAAGGAAAAAUUUGCGUUGCUAGGAUACCCUCGCAUUCUAGACUCUGCAAUGCCUUGAGCCUUUGACUCUUGACUUUUAUGUCUUUUUUCAUCUGUCAAGGCUCUCAGAUGAAAGGAGAGUAUCAGGAAGCCAUGUACUGGCAUCACACUUUGCAAGAUACAGAUUGACUUCUCUUAUUUCUUCUCUCAUUUAAGCAUUCUCCUUUCCUUUCUUCUAAUUGGUUCCAGAAGUUCUUGAUACAAAUGUCAUGUUGGGUGAACAGUGGCAAAUGUAUGCUAACUCAAGUGCCAGUCCCGACCCAUUGUGGCAACUGCCUAGAAAACUAUGUGAAGAAGCAUUCUAAGCUAAGGUAAAGGGCACAUCAGAGAGUGGGAGAGAAAACUAGUCAACAUCUUUAUUAAAUUUGGUGCCCGAUGCAAGAAAACUUAUCAUAGUUGCCUUAAAUAACAAACGUUCCUGACAAGAGUGUGACCUCAAAGACUGCAGGUUUUAAGAAGAUGCUUGCCAUGUUGUCAACAGUCACCGCUGAGAUAAUGCAGUAGAACGAGUUAUACGAGAACCUGAAGGAACUAUGGAAAGUGAAAGAAUUAUUUUUUCUCAAAAAGCAGAUGUCCUUUCACAACAGGAAGACGUAUUUCCGGAUUGGAUGGGAAAAGUGCAGGUGUACACAAGCAUGAAACUGUCCCUUCUCCCCAGCAGUAUGACAGACGACAAACAAGGACCAUAGUAGAAAAUGUAAGUUUGUAUAUAAACACAGACACACACACACACACAAGCAUAGUUGCUUUUACUAAGUUGACAAAAAAUAUGUAAGACUCGUGGCUAAAUUGCGUUUGUGUAUAAACACACAGACACACACUACAUUUUUAUUUUCUCAAAGAGGAAAUUGACCAUGCUGUCAAGAUAUAAUUUUUGAACUCUUUGUUUUCACUGACAGUAAAAUGCACUAAGAUUUUGCUUAAAGACAUCUCAAUGAACUUUGAAAUCUGUGAAGCUUGGACCACGUUGGUUAAAAUGCUCUUUCAGGAAACAGAAAAAUGUGGCAUAAACAUACUGGUUUAUGUACUUUUCAAUUGUUGAGUAAUUCAGAGAUUUAUGCCCAGUUUGACUUCUGGUCCAAAUGGUAGCAAGAAGUCUCAAGUAAGGUCCAGCCUUGGGUUGCCUUCCUUUUCAUAGUCUUCAUUUUUUCAGCCACAAAGUUACUAGAAGGAAGCAAAAACCCUUACAUACUCAGAGGUUCAAGUCCAUAUGAGAAGUGUAAUUCUUUUCCCAGAAAGCCAAACAUUUAUUAAUUCCACUGGUUUGAUUUGGACGUCAGCCCAUUCCUUACCUUUAAGAAAAAGAACAUUUCCAUCCUAGCUACACAGGAAGCUGAGAUGGGAGGAUUGCUUGAGCCUAGAGGUAGGGGCUGCAGUAAGCCAUGAUUAUGCCACUGCACUUCAGCCUCGGUGACACAAUGAGACCUUGUAUCAAAAAAAAAAAAAAGAAAAAAAAGAAAAAAAGUAAAAGAUAAAAGAAAAUAUCUGAUUGGU
ensembl:lncRNA